rnacentral:snRNA from 1 species
UUGCUCACUUUAGGAGUAUAUACACUAAAAUUGGAAUCUUACAUAAAUUAGCCGGCCCCUGGGCAAGGAUGAUAUGCAAAUUUGUGAAGUGUCCCAUAUAUUU